rnacentral:rRNA from 1 species
AUUGAAUGCUGGCGGCAGGCCUAACACAUGCACGUCGAGCGGAGCGGCGGAAGGGUGAGUAAUGCCUAGGAAUCUGCAUGGUAGUGGGGGAUAACGUCCGGAAACGGGCGCUAAUACCGCAUACUACCAGAUGAGCCUAGGUCGGAGUAGCUAGUUGGUGGGGUAAAGGCCUACCAGGGCGACGAUCCGUAACUGGUCUGAGAGGAUGAUCAGUCACACGGGAACUGAGACACGGUCCAGACGCCUACGGGAGGCAGGAGUGGGGAAUAUUGGACAAUGGGCGAAAGCCUUAUCCAGCCAUGCCGCGUGUGUGAAGGAGGUCUUCGGAUUGUAAAGCACUUUAAGUUGGGAGGCGUUACCAACAGAAUAAACACCGGCUAACUUCGUGCCAGCAGCCGCGGUAAUUC